rnacentral:rRNA from 1 species
CCUACGGGAUGCAGCAGUGGGGAAUAUUGCACAAUGGGCGCAAGCCUGAUGCAACCAUGCCGCGUGUAUGAAGAAGGCCCUAGGGUUGUAAAGUACUUUCAGUCGGGAGGAAGGCGUUGAUGCUAAUAUCAUCAACGAUUGACGUAACCGACAGAAGAAGCACCGGCUAACUCCGUGCCAGCAGCCGCGGUAAUACGGAGGGUGCAAGCGUUAAUCGGAAUUACUGGGCGUAAAGCGCACGCAGGCGGUUGAUUAAGUUAGAUGUGAAAUCCCCGGGCUUAACCUGGGAAUGGCAUCUAAGACUGGUCAGCUAGAGUCUUGUAGAGGGGGGUAGAAUUCCAUGUGUAGCGGUGAAAUGCGUAGGGAUGUGGAGGAAUACCGGUGGCGAAGGCGGCCCCCUGGACAAAGACUGACGCUCAGGUGCGAAAGCGUGGGGAGCAAACAGGAUUAGAUACCCCUGUAGUC